GUGUCAGCAGCCGCGGUAAGACAGAGGGUGCAAACGUUGUUCGGAAUUACUGGGCGUAAAGCGCGUGUAGGCUGCUCGGAAAGUUGGAUGUGAAAGCCCUGGGCUUAACCCAGGAAGUGCAUUCAAAACUGCUGAGCUGGAGUCCUGGAGAGGAAGGCGGAAUUCUCGGUGUAGAGGUGAAAUUCGUAGAUAUCGAGAGGAACACCGGUGGCGAAGGCGGCCUUCUGGACAGUGACUGACGCUGAGACGCGAAAGCGUGGGGAGCAAACAGGAUUAGAAACCCUAGUAGUCC
rnacentral:rRNA from 1 species